GACGAACGCUGGCGGCGUGCUUAACACAUGCAAGUCGAACGGUGAAGCUCCAGCUUACUGGAGUGGAUCAGUGGCGAACGGGUGAGUAACACGUGAGCAACCUGCCCCUGACUCUGGAAUAAGCGCUGGAAACGGCGUCUAAUACUGGAUACGAGAAGGGUCCGCAUGGGCACUUUCUGGAAAGUUUUUCGGUUGGGGAUGGGCUCGCGGCCUAUCAGCUUGUUGGUGAGGUAAUGGCUCACCAAGGCGACGACGGGUAGCCGGCCUGAGAGGGCGACCGGCCACACUGGGACUGAGACACGGCCCAGACUCCUACGGGAGGCAGCAGUGGGGAAUAUUGCACAAUGGGCGAAAGCCUGAUGCAGCGACGCCGCGUGAGGGAUGACGGCCUUCGGGUUGUAAACCUCUUUCAGCAGGGAAGAAGCGAAAGUGACGGUACCUGCAGAAGAAGCACCGGCUAACUACGUG
rnacentral:rRNA from 1 species